GGAGCAUCCCAGUCCUUGAUGUAUCCGUGUGAGCUGGACCAAGCCUGUCUAGAGACUGCCACUGAGCUGGCUUAAACCAGCCCUCAACAGUGCUCCACCUUCCACGUUGUUUUGUUUAGCAGCUGGACCUCUAAACAGAGCCCAUGAGAGCAUCGCUUCUGUGAAAAGCUAAGGCAAGGAUAACCCACGAGCAGGGCCAGCCUGUGUGCAUGCAUGCCCCGUGUGCAUCUCAGCUCAGCCUUGAAAUGGUGAGAUCAGACUCUUAUUGGUCUGAGAGGUUGGUGUCCUCAGACCCUGUGGCUCGUUAUCUGGGGUCCAGGAGAACACACCAAACAGGGUCUGAGAAUCACUUGGAUGUAGUCAAGUUACGGAUGGGGGAGGGCCUGGUUUAACCAGGUCCAGAAACUGCAGGGUGGGAGGUAAGUAAGACUGCCUGAUUUUCAGACCCCCAGGCUCCAGGGGGUCUUAUGGGAGUGGGCUGUUUUCUGGAAUUUCAUGGGUGGCAGGUCUCUCUCUCUCUCCCUUCCUUUUCUUUUUUCCUUUCCUUUCCUUUCCUUUUUCUUCUUCCUCUUCCUUUUUCUUUUUCUUUUUCUUUUUUUUCUUUCUUUCUUCUUUUUUGGUUUUUCAAGACAGAGUUUCUCUGUAUAGCCCUGGCUGUCCUGGAACUCACUUUGUAGACCAGGCUGGCCUCAAACUCAGAAAUCCGCCUGCCUCUGCCUCCCGACUGCUGUGAUUUAAGGUGUGUGCCACCAUGCCCUGCUGGUGGCAGGUUUCUUAAAGGGCUUAUUUUAUGGCCCUGGUUUCAGGGUGGUGGGAUCCUUUGGAAAUGAAUGUGUGACAUUUGAGGCUAGGCAAACCCUUAACCUGGCUUUUAAGACAACUGGGAAACAGACAGGCCUGUGAGCUGCCUUAUGUGGGUGCUGAACUAGAACUCGGGCCCUCUGCAAAAGCAGAGUUCUCAACAAUUGAGCCAUGUUUCCAUCACCAGACUGGUCCAUCAGGGAGUGGAGCAGAAAGCCAAGUGAUUAUAAAUGUAGCUGCUGCCCCCUCUAGGUCUCCUACACCCCCCUGCCUGCCCUUCUUCACCAUAUGACCCUCACCAGAAGCCGAGCAGACGCUGACCCCUCCGGAGUGUAAACCAAAAUAAACCUUUGUUUGUU
rnacentral:lncRNA from 1 species